rnacentral:rRNA from 1 species
AGAGUUUGAUCCUGGCUCAGGACGAACGCUGGCGGCGUGCCUAACACAUGCAAGUCGAACGGGGAGUUAUUUAUAACUCCUAGUGGCGAACGGGUGAGUAACGCGUAGACAACCUGCCUCUAAACUGGGGACAACACCGCGAAAGUGGUGCUAAUACCGAAUGUGGUAUCUUGAUCGCAUGAUCGAGAUAAGAAAGAUGGCCUCUAUUUAUAAGCUAUCGAUUAGAGAUGGGUCUGCGUCUGAUUAGCUAGUUGGUGAGGUAAUGGCUCACCAAGGCGACGAUCGGUAGCUGGUCUGAGAGGACGACCAGCCACACUGGGACUGAGACACGGCCCAGACUCCUACGGGAGGCAGCAGUGGGGAAUUUUGGACAAUGGGGGCAACCCUGAUCCAGCCAUGCCGCGUGUGUGAAGAAGGCCUUCGGGUUGUAAAGCACUUUCGGACGGAACGAAAUCGCGCGGUCUAAUAAGCCGCGUGGAUGACGGUACCGUAAGAAGAAGCACCGGCUAACUACGUGCCAGCAGCCGCGGUAAUACGUAGGGUGCGAGCGUUAAUCGGAAUUACUGGGCGUAAAGUGUGCGCAGGCGGCAAAGCAAGUCGAGUGUGAAAGCCCCGGGCUUAACUUGGGAAUUGCGCUCGAAACUAUUUUGCUGGAGUGUGGCAGAGGAAGGUGGAAUUCCACGUGUAGCGGUGAAAUGCG